GGAUGCAACCGACCAUCGCCGUGUAGAUCGGACAAUCCUAAGCUGUAUUUACAUACAAAGAAGAACAUGGGAUGCGAGAACGAUAAAAAGAAGUAAUACGGGUGGCACGAGGGAGAAAAAGCAAGGGCGGCUCUCAGCUGUAUCCCGCAAAAAACGUGAUGAUCCUUUUACCUGACAUAGUGCCAAUGAGGAGGUACUCCGAGCUCGGAACAUCCUGGAUUUGCGUACAUGCUAAUGUAGUCGAGAGCAUCAGGCCCGCCUAGCCUAAAGGGAAAAAUACAUAGAAAAUUCGAAUCAGCUGACACAGGAUAUCCGGUAAAAGAGGGGGC